rnacentral:rRNA from 1 species
AUUGAACGCUGGCGGCAUGCUUUACACAUGCAAGUCGAACGGUAACAGGCCGCAAGGUGCUGACGAGUGGCGAACGGGUGCGUAAUGCAUCGGAACGUGCCCAGUCGUGGUGGAUAACUACUCGAAAGAGUAGCUAAUACCGCAUACGAUCUAUGGAUGAAAGCGGGGGACCGUAAGGCCUCGCGCGAUUGGGGCGGCCGAUGUCAGAUUAGGUAGUUGGUGGGGUAAAGGCUCACCAAGCCAACGAUCUGUAGCUGGUCUGAGAGGACGACCAGCCACACUGGGACUGAGACACGGCCCAGACUCCUACGGGAGGCAGCAGUGGGGAAUUUUGGACAAUGGGCGCAAGCCUGAUCCAGCAAUGCCGCGUGCAGGAAGAAGGCCUUCGGGUUGUAAACUGCUUUUGUACGGAACGAAACGGCUCUGGUUAAUACCCGGGGCUAAUGACGGUACCGUAAGAAUAAGCACCGGCUAACUACGUG